UCGUUUUCUAUUUUUCACGAUUUUUGAAACUUUUUACGGAUUGGGAUUUUUUAAAAAUUUUUUAGAAGGAGUAUUGGUCGCAAACUUUCUAGACCUAAUCCUUGUAUUUUUGUUGGCAUGCACAAAAAAAUUCAGCUAAAAACUCAAAGUGUACAAGAUUUUGUGACCAUUUGAAAAAAGUAUCCCUAUUUCGGACACUUUAAUGGCUACUGGUAGCAAACCUGUAAAAUCUCAAAUGCUCUUUAAGG
rnacentral:lncRNA from 1 species